ensembl:lncRNA MAP3K5-AS1 MAP3K5 antisense RNA 1
GAGGCAAUCAUGAGAAUUUUUCUAGAAUCAUCUCUUUAUUGCUGUCUGCUCAGAACAAUCAAAACUGGUAGCGGGAAGAGAAUCAGUGUAGGAAGGCAACAUUGACAAGGCCAAACAACGAAGUGGUGACUCACUGAGUCCUUGCACUCUCGAAGGAAACAACCACCUUAGAAAAAACCAUGCACUUUCGGCGGGGGCUUAAUCACAUUAGGUUCUCUGUGUAGCAUAUUAAUGCCUGCCACAAGGGUGCUAUCAACCAGAAUCUUCAGUGAAUCUUCUUUGUCUGAAUUGCACAUAUCUCAGAGGAGAAUAGAGAAUGUGUAAGGACACCGUGGCCCAUGCAUUGACACUGUCAUAGAUAAAGCAUAGUUACUCGCUAUCAGUUCUACCCACAGCCAAAGUCCAGGUUCCACCUCCUUUAGCAAGCCUUCUCGAAGGACUCCAUGCCUCACUGAUCUUCCUCCUCACUGAACGCCACAGACCAAGAACCCAUAAUGUCCUCCUCAGGAACCAGCACAGUCCCAAAGUCCACAGAACUCAAAAGAACGCUGGUAGAUUGAUUUGCUCUACCAUCAUCUCAACAGUGCUUUCCUCGGGUGUAGCAUGAUGCAUUUUAACACAAUUAAAAUGACAUGUUAGAAAUGUUGCUGAUGGGGUUGCUGGGGCAAUGACUUCUUUCAAAGUCUUCCCUCUAUUUACUGCACUCAUGGAAGUGAGUCUCAUGGGAAGCUAUGUCUUAGCUGAAAGCCUGUCUUCAAAGUCCUUUGGCAAGGAAGUUUUCUGUUAUGAAUAAAUUAGUAUCACAAGUAA